rnacentral:rRNA from 1 species
GACGAACGCUGGCGGCGUGCCUAAUACAUGCAAGUUGAGCGCUGAAGGUUGGUCCUUGUCCCGACUGGCUGAGCAGCGAACGGGUGAGUAACGCGUGGGGAAUCUGCCUUUGAGCGGGGGACAACAUUUGGAAACGAAUGCUAAUACCGCAUAAAAACUUUAAACACAAGUUUUAAGUUUGAAAGAUGCAAUUGCAUCACUCAAAGAUGAUCCCGCGUUGUAUUAGCUAGUUGGUGAGGUAAAGGCUCACCAAGGCGAUGAUACAUAGCCGACCUGAGAGGGUGAUCGGCCACAUUGGGACUGAGACACGGCCCAAACUCCUACGGGAGGCAGCAGUAGGGAAUCUUCGGCAAUGGACGAAAGGCUGACCGAGCAACGCCGCGUGAGUGAAGAAGGUUUUCGGAUCGUAAAACUCUGUUGGUAGAGAAGAACGUUGGUGAGAGUGGAAAGCUCAUCAAGUGACGGUAACUACCCAGAAAGGGACGGCUAACUACGUG